rnacentral:rRNA from 1 species
AUUGAACGCUGGCGGCAUGCCUUACACAUGCAAGUCGAACGGCAGCACGGGAGCAAUCCUGGUGGCGAGUGGCGAACGGGUGAGUAAUAUAUCGGAACGUGCCCAGUCGUGGGGGGUAACGCAGCGAAAGCUGUGCUAAUACCGCAUACGAUCUAAGGAUGAAAGCGGGGGAUCGCAAGACCUCGCGCGAUUGGAGCGGCCGAUAUCAGAUUAGCUAGUUGGUGGGGUAAAGGCCCACCAAGGCGACGAUCUGUAGCUGGUCUGAGAGGACGACUAGCCAGACUGGAACUGCGACACGGUCCAGACUCCUACGGGAGGCAGCAGUGGGGAAUUUUGGACAAUGGGCGCAAGCCUGAUCCAGCAAUGCCGCGUGCAGGAUGAAGGCCUUCGGGUUGUAAACUGCUUUUGUACGGAACGAAACGGCCCUUUCUAAUACAGGGGGCUAAUGACGGUACCGUAAGAAUAAGCACCGGCUAACUACGUGCCAGCCGCCGCAGUAA